GAAUAUUGCGCAAUGGGGGAAACCCUGACGCAGCAACGCCGCGUGAGCGACGAAGGCCUUCGGGUCGUAAAGCUCUGUCUAGAGGGAUGAAUUUUGACAGUACCUCUGGAGGAAGCCCCGGCUAACUACGUGCCAGCAGCCGCGGUAAUACGUAGGGGGCAAGCGUUGUCCGGAUUUACUGGGCGUAAAGGGCGCGUAGGCGGUAGUUUAAGUCAGAUGUGAAAGUCCAGGGCUCAACCGUGGAAUUGCAUUUGAAACUGAAUUACUUGAGUGCAGGAGAGGAGAGCGGAAUUCCUAGUGUAGCGGUGAAAUGCGUAGAUAUUAGGAAGAACACCAGUGGCGAAGGCGGCUCUCUGGACUGUAACUGACGCUGAGGCGCGAAAGCGUGGGGAGCGAAC
rnacentral:rRNA from 1 species